rnacentral:misc_RNA from 1 species
CCGUAAUGUUCAUUGCGGGAGAUUGCACGCGCUGUGGUCACAUGAUCAGUAGCUGAUCAAAAUGGCGGCUGCAAAGGGCGCAAAAAUAUUUGUUUGGUUGGUUGUGUGAAGGAGAUAGCUUUUCCUUUUCAGGCCUGUGUUCUUGAAGAACUGUUGGGGUUUGAAAAGGAAGAGCUGCUCCAGGUUCUGUCAACUGAGAAUGCAGGGUUGGAAGUGUAAAUGAAAUGUAAUGUGUUCUCAAUUUUGAGUGUUACAGGAUGCUGUUGUCUUUCCUAUAUCAUUGUUUGUGUGUGUUAAGCCUGUUGCAAGCAUUAGAUUUGGUCUGGACACCAAUGGGGAUGAACAGUGAAUGAGAAUAUGGGAAAUGGUCCUCAACCAAGGAAGAGAAUGAUACAGUUAUUGUAUGUAUGUUUUAUGAAACAUUAAUGAUGCAGACAGUUAUUAUGAAUAACUACAUUUAUAUAUUUUUUCUUCUGUAGAAUAUUUCCUCUGUUGAACAGGUAAUGUAUAACUGAUGAAUGAGUAUGCCUUAACAGUUCUAGUUUUUAUGUAUUUCUGCAUUGCUUUUUUUCAAAGCAGUUUGAGUGUACACAGAUUUCAAUGUAUAUCACCUGGCGUUGAGUAAAAAUUAUUUUUCGAAAUCAGUGCUACUAAAAAAUUUCAAGUUUACCAGUGAUUUUUAGUGAUGUAUGCAUGUAUAUCAUUAUAUGUUGUAUUAGCAUUGAUUUGAAAGAAAAGUAUUUAGUUCCAUAUCCUUAAUUGCACUCACGUGCUAAACAGAGGUAAUGUACUGCAUUUUAACUGUAAUACUUAGAAUGAAUAUCAAACAUAGCUCCACCUUCGGAUAAUAGGGGGGCUAUACUACUUGCCCCGGUGUGGGCGUCAGUGUGACCCUUCUUGCUUAAAGUUUUUCGGCAACCUUUGUUUUUCUGUCAUAUCUUUGUUACUAUUGCUUAUAUCUUACUGUGACUUCACAUAAACAUUGUCACCAAACUGUUAUACUUAGGUUGUUUUUAAGGUUAAAGUUUUUCGGCAACCUUUUUUUUUCUGUCAUAUCUUUGUUAUUAUUGCUUAUAUCUUACUAUAACUUCACAUAAACAUACAGGAUACAAACAAUUUAUGAGUAUGGGCUGAGCCCAUUAUACCCAAGGUCAAGGUCACCAAGGUGUUUUACUAGGUUAUUUUUUAGGUUAAAGUUUUUUAGCAACCUUUGUUUUUCUGUCAUAAACAUUGUCCAGUAUAUAAA